GACAGAGGGUGCAAACGUUGUUCGGAAUUACUGGGCGUAAAGCGUGUGUAGGCGGCUUGGUAAGUCGGAUGUGAAAGCCCCGGGCUCAACCCGGGAAGUGCACUCGAUACUGCCAAGCUAGAGUAUCGGAGAGGUUGGUGGAAUUCUCGGUGUAGAGGUGAAAUUCGUAGAUAUCGAGAGGAACACCGGUGGCGAAGGCGGCCAACUGGACGAAUACUGACGCUGAGACUCGAAAGCGUGGGGAGCAAACAGG
rnacentral:rRNA from 1 species